UGUAUACUCCCUCUGUCCCAAAAUCCUUGUCUUAGAUUUGUCUACAUACGGAUGUAUCUAUUCAUGUUUUAGUGUUAAAUACAUCCAUAUCUAGAUAAAUCCAAGACAAGAAUUUUGGGACGGAGGGAGUAUUAU
rnacentral:pre_miRNA from 1 species